UAGGAUAGAGGCCUACCAUGGUGGUAACGGGUAACGGGGUGUUAGGGCACGACACCGGAGAGGGAGCCUGAGAAACGGCUACCACAUCCAAGGAUGGCAGCAGGCGCGCAAAUUACCCAAUCCCGACACGGGGAGGUAGUGACAAUAAAUAACAAUACGGGGUUCUUUCGGAUCUCGUAAUUGGAAUGAGUACAAUUUAAAUCUCUUAACGAGGAACAAUUGGAGGGCAAGUCUGGUGCCAGCAGCCGCGGUAAUUCCAGCUCCAAUAGCGUAUAUUAAAGUUGUUGCAGUUAAAAAGCUCGUAGUUGAAUUUCGGGGUUAGUAGGUUGGUCAUGCCUCUGGUAUGUACUGAUCUCACUGAUUCCUCCUUCCUGAUGAACCGUAAUGCCAUUAAUUUGGUGUUGCGGGGAAUUUGGACUGUUACUUUGAAAAAAUUAGAGUGUUUAAAGCAAGCUAACGCUUGAAUACAUUAGCAUGGAAUAAUGAAAUAGGACGUUCGAUCCUAUUUUGUUGGUUUCUAGGAUUGACGUAAUGAUUAAUAGGGAUAGUUGGGGGCAUUAGUAUUCAAUUGUCAGAGGUGAAAUUCUUGGAUUUAUUGAAGACUAACUACUGCGAAAGCAUUUGCCAAGGAUGUUUUCAUUAAUCAAGAACGAAAGUUAGGGGAUCGAAGACGAUCAGAUACCGUCGUAGUCUUAACCAUAAACUAUGCCGACUAGGGAUCGGAU
rnacentral:rRNA from 1 species